AAAGUUUCAGUAGGGUUUGAGUCACACUGACAGUAGCUCAGUCUUGAAUGCUGAGGCUAAAGGGUGGUCCCGUGGAGGACUCAAAUGUCCCAGCUGGAAUAGACACAGCAGAGGCACUAGUACCACCAUCAUCACCGGCAUCAUCCACACCCUCACCACCAUGAUCAUGGCUGCCACCGUCACCUCCACCACCACUGCUCAAAUGUUAGAGGAGGGGGAGAUGUCGGAGAGAACCGGAUGCCCCUGCUCAAAGGUGCCGUCCACAGACAUUGUUACGUGGAAGCCUCGGAAGGGGAACAUAUCCUGGGUUGUCCCCGUGGCCCGUGCUAUUACAGAUCCCUCACUCACAUGAAGCAGGGGCUGUGCUGGGCCUGCAGUAGGGACCUGAUGCAUUUAGGAGGACAGAGAAGACAGAACUAGGUGAAACCAUCACACGGAUCUGCUUGUGUGGCUUGGAGCAUCCUGCGUCACGUGUCUAGGAGUGGGGACACCUGCCUGCAGAGAGAGGGACCGUUGUCUCGACAGGUGGUUGGGCUGAUACUUCACAGAGGAAAGAUGGAGGUGGCAGAAAAAGCAAGCAGGGCAUUGGUGUGGACUAACACAGGCCUGCAGGAUGCUCUCAUCUAAGCAAGUGGCCUGGGCGCUGAUGUGAGCCCGGAUGGUGAAUUGGUAUCCUCAUCUGACUGUGUCAGUGCCCCCCUGUGACCUUGCAUGGCCCCCUAAGGAGCUGGGAACACUGGGGAUGAGAACCCACCCAAAGAGGACGAAUCUGAGGGAGAGGAAGUGGGCUGAAGGCAACUUCUCUAAAAUAUUAAAAGCCUGUGGCCGCCAGAGGCCG
rnacentral:lncRNA from 1 species